UACCAGCACCCCGAGUGGUCGGGACGAUUAUUGGGCCUAAAGCAUCCGUAGCCGGUCCUACAAGUCUUCCGUUAAAUCCACCUGCUUAACAGAUGGGCUGCGGAAGAUACUAUAGGGCUAGGAGGCGGGAGAGGCAAGCGGUACUCAGUGGGUAGGGGUAAAAUCCUCUGAUCCAUUGAAGACCACCAGUGGCGAAGGCGGCUUGCCAGAACGCGCUCGGCGGUGAGGGAUGAAAGCUGGGGGAGCGAACGGG
rnacentral:rRNA from 1 species